rnacentral:rRNA from 1 species
AAAUUGAAGAGUUUGAUCAUGGCUCAGAUUGAACGCUGGCGGCAGGCCUAACACAUGCAAGUCGAACGGUAACAGGAAGCAGCUUGCUGCUUUGCUGACGAGUGGCGGACGGGUGAGUAAUGUCUGGGAAACUGCCUGAUGGAGGGGGAUAACUACUGGAAACGGUAGCUAAUACCGCAUAACGUCGCAAGACCAAAGAGGGGGACCUUCGGGCCUCUUGCCAUCGGAUGUGCCCAGAUGGGAUUAGCUUGUUGGUGGGGUAACGGCUCACCAAGGCGACGAUCCCUAGCUGGUCUGAGAGGAUGACCAGCCACACUGGAACUGAGACACGGUCCAGACUCCUACGGGAGGCAGCAGUGGGGAAUAUUGCACAAUGGGCGCAAGCCUGAUGCAGCCAUGCCGCGUGUAUGAAGAAGGCCUUCGGGUUGUAAAGUACUUUCAGCGGGGAGGAAGGGAGUAAAGUUAAUACCUUUGCUCAUUGACGUUACCCGCAGAAGAAGCACCGGCUAACUCCGUGCCAGCAGCCGCGGUAAUACGGAGGGUGCAAGCGUUAAUCGGAAUUACUGGGCGUAAAGCGCACGCAGGCGGUUUGUUAAGUCAGAUGUGAAAUCCCCGGGCUCAACCUGGGAACUGCAUCUGAUACUGGCAAGCUUGAGUCUCGUAGAGGGGGGUAGAAUUCCAGGUGUAGCGGUGAAAUGCGUAGAGAUCUGGAGGAAUACCGGUGGCGAAGGCGGCCCCCUGGACGAAGACUGACGCUCAGGUGCGAAAGCGUGGGGAGCAAACAGGAUUAGAUACCCUGGUAGUCCACGCCGUAAACGAUGUCGACUUGGAGGUUGUGCCCUUGAGGCGUGGCUUCCGGAGCUAACGCGUUAAGUCGACCGCCUGGGGAGUACGGCCGCAAGGUUAAAACUCAAAUGAAUUGACGGGGGCCCGCACAAGCGGUGGAGCAUGUGGUUUAAUUCGAUGCAACGCGAAGAACCUUACCUGGUCUUGACAUCCACGGAAGUUUUCAGAGAUGAGAAUGUGCCUUCGGGAACCGUGAGACAGGUGCUGCAUGGCUGUCGUCAGCUCGUGUUGUGAAAUGUUGGGUUAAGUCCCGCAACGAGCGCAACCCUUAUCCUUUGUUGCCAGCGGUCCGGCCGGGAACUCAAAGGAGACUGCCAGUGAUAAACUGGAGGAAGGUGGGGAUGACGUCAAGUCAUCAUGGCCCUUACGACCAGGGCUACACACGUGCUACAAUGGCGCAUACAAAGAGAAGCGACCUCGCGAGAGCAAGCGGACCUCAUAAAGUGCGUCGUAGUCCGGAUUGGAGUCUGCAACUCGACUCCAUGAAGUCGGAAUCGCUAGUAAUCGUGGAUCAGAAUGCCACGGUGAAUACGUUCCCGGGCCUUGUACACACCGCCCGUCACACCAUGGGAGUGGGUUGCAAAAGAAGUAGGUAGCUUAACCUUCGGGAGGGCGCUUACCACUUUGUGAUUCAUGACUGGGGUGAAGUCGUAACAAGGUAACCGUAGGGGAACCUGCGGUUGGA